rnacentral:lncRNA from 1 species
GCACGGCCUGCCAGGCGAGCUGGAGCAGCUCCAGCACUCGCUGCCAUUUCCCCAGCCCUGGCUCCACCCCAGCCUGGCAGGCUGCGCCAGGGGCACGCCAGCUGCCACUGCGUCACCAAGGUCCUGUUUCUGUGACCUUGGCAUGGAGGAACAGAGCACCCUCCCCACGUGGCAUUUGCACUGCAAUUACUCGGUCUUGGAGAGGCCACCAAGGAGUCAGGAGGGAUCAUUUCUGCUGUGUUUGCUGUUACCCCAGGGACGAAUAUCAGACUCUCUGCAGGGAACUGGAUUUUCUGUGCCACUAAGAUACAGUUCACUACCAGAAUUCUCAGCUGAGUCUCAAAUCCUUCACAGAGCAUCGGAACUUCACUAGAUGGCAGUGGAGAGAAAUAUUACUUUAUAUCAAUAUAUUUUUUAAUACCCAACAAGUCCUGCACUUUAUUAGUGCUGUCUGUGUUAACACUACAUCACAAGACAGCAAUUCUCUCACCCACACAAAAGCUCCUGCCCAGCUAAAUCUCCCUGUAAGCCUUUGGGAAAGCAUGGACACUCUUUCACCACUAAUGCACAGAGUCAGGGAGCAACAUGCACUCCCUCUUUAAAGGGUUUUUCUCAUAAGCUCAAGUGUACUGUGGUCUGUCCUGAAAUCCCAGGAAACAAUAAGUUCCAAGAAGAAAAAGUUUUUAAAAGAAAACUUUCCAGAGAAGUCAGAGACACCACCCUCCAAAGAACCAUAACAGUUAUGUAUGCCAUAAACAUGAUGAAGAAAAUGAGUGAAGAGUAAGAAUGAGAAAGGCAAAUGGUUCAAGGAAUUUUGUGAGGACUACUCUGCAUUCAGAAAAAAAUCCUUUUCCUUCACAAGAACUCCAUACAAAUACAUGUUUCUUGGGAGAACUUUAUAUCCUUUACAGACAACUCAAGAAAGAAAGCAUCAUUUUUCAGUCUUCUGACAAAACUCCAAGGUGAAAUACUUUAAGCAGCAAGUUCUGUAACUUCUAAGGUCCAAAACCUUGAAAAAUUUAAUCUUUUGAAUACAGAGGACUAAUGCCUGCCAGUCUUUGGAAAUUGAUUACACCUGGACAAAACUAAAGAACUACAACAGAGUGGGUAAUUUCAGCUAAGUGCAACACUUCAAUUAAGAGUUUAUCAGUAAAGUUCUCUAGAAACAAUGGAGUUCUCUGGCUUUAUUUAGAAAGCUUAGAAAGCACAAACUAUCAUUUAGUACAAUAAGGAGACAAAAAAAGUUUGCUUUCUUCUAGCAUCAGAUGUAAAAAAAAUUUUGAAGGCUUGUUUUCAGCUUUGGGAAAAAUGUAUUUAAAAAACCCAAUUCACUGCCUAAAUCACACUUCUCUAAACUAUUCUUGCCUUUAUCU